rnacentral:tRNA from 1 species
GGGCGCGUAGCUCAAUGGUAGAGCCCUCGUCUUAUACACGAGUGGUUGUAGGUUCGAGUCCUACCGCGCCCA